rnacentral:lncRNA from 1 species
CUAAAGAGCUGCUGGGAAUGGAGGUUAAAAAGGACACACCCCUGACCUGCUGACUCUUAAAAUGUCUAUUGAAUAAACUCAGCCACAUGAAUAUACAUUAGAUGCAUAAAUAUGGUGCACCAUAUGCAUACUUAAGGGAGGAGACUACUUUCCAUUAACAUGUUUCCUCUGGUUACUUCUCAGUUUGACUACUGAAACACUCCACAGGAGGCUGCUCCUGAAGACUGCCUUGUGCAGGCUGCAGAGAAUGUGGAACAGCUAUACUCUGCAAGUUAAUACCCUACUGAUGAGAUACUGCCUGAGGCAAAGUUAUCCUCUACUAUAAAAACAGGGCUUUUCCAGUGUCAGCAUAUAGAACCAUAGAAAUGCAGAGCUGGAAGAGACCCUAAGGGUCAUCUACUCCAACUCCCUGCAAUGCAGAAAUCCCAGCUAAAGCAUCCAUGACAGAUGGCCAUCCAACCUCUGCUUAAAAACCUCCAAGGAAGGAGAGUCCACAACCUCCCAAGACAGACUGUUCCAUCAACAGCUUUUACAUGAUCUUUAGGAGACCAGUGAGCCCCUUCUUGUUCAAUGAGACCUUCAGAAGGCUGGGUCUUCUCUUCUGCAAACAAAAUACAAUUACUGCUGUUGCGUUCGUGUUUCUGUAAAUUGCUUUUAAUGAGCUGUUUUAUUACUAUUGAAACUGUCAGCCACUUCGAAGGCCUCUGUGGCAAAAAAAAAAAAAAAAAAAGGCAGCCCGUAAAUUUUAAUGCACAUUAAAUAAGUCUGCUUAAUGUAUAAAGAUAUUCUAGCCCUAAGGGCAUGCAACGUGUUCAUUAAAUUUGCAAAACAAAGGGUAAUUUGUGGAAUUCCCAGAUAAUAUCCCAAGGUUGAUAUGAGGAGCCUUGCUAAUGGUGCUUCAGUUAUACACAAUACUAAGAGUUAUGGACUGAACUACAGGAUACCCUACUUCUGGAAUUAGAGCUGGCGUGGUGCAGUAGUUAUUGACUGCCAAGCUAGAACUGCAAAGACCAUGUUCACUUUGAGCCAUCCAUCGUCAUUCAGCCUAAUCUACCACACAGGGCAGUUUUGGCAAUAAGCGGGGGGGGGGGGCAAUGUAUGCUGCCAUUGUGUUAGCUACAGUGGUUUUCACAGUUCAUUAUAUGCCUUUGUGUUAAGAUACAGAAAGCUACAGUGAACCAAGUUACCCAACCCCCCCGAAUAUAUUGCUAGUAACUGCCACGAUUCUUAUGCUCGCUACCAAACCAGUUGGUUUGUGGCUGCCUUAUUUCAACACCACCUUGCUAUAUGAAUCAGCCUUAAGUCUGGGAAUCGCUUGGGGCAAGAUUAUGGAUGGGGAGAUCUGUACAAGUGUGCACCUCUAUUUCUUAUUGCAUCAUCCCAGAUUGAAAAGCAAAACUGUGACUAUAAUAAAACUCUAAACAGCAUAUUCAACAUUUCAAUCUCUACCUCAGUUUGCUCACCCUCUUCUCUACAUGCACAUUGGCACUAAAUUCAGCAGCUCCCUUCAUAGCAAAGCUUAGCCCCCAAGGCACAGCAAGCAAAGUUGUGCAGCCACUUGUUGGGUCCUAAAAAAUGUGCUGUGCCUCUCCCUCAUCUGUUUUCAAUUAGCCUUAGCUUCAACACUCAACCUGCCUCACCAAAUCUAAAGGGGGUCUCUAGCUAAAAAUGCAAAAUUUAUUUGCCCUCCCUUUGCAAAACAAGCGGCUGUAUAUUCUCUCGUGAAUCUCCUUAGUAAAGUCAUUCAAGAUUUGACUCCAAAGACACAGUAGACAAAAGAUAUCUUUCAAAAAUUAAGGUGGAAAAAUGUUCUGCAUACACUUAAAAUGCAAAACUGUGUGUAUCUUGAAAGAGGGGAUUGCUUUGAUUCUCCUGUUAAUUAAGAAAGUUACAGAAGCAUAACAUUACUUAGUUGAAAAUAAUUUAAUAACCUCAGGGGGCCACGAGUGGGCGCAUUGGAAGAUGGCCGACAAUACCAUCUCUCCGACCCACACGGGGUAAUUAAGAGGCUGUUAUGGGAGUAGGCAGCCUCCCUUGUUGCCCCAAGGAAAUGGGGAACACUGCCCUUGCCUGCUGUACCCAUAAAUCAUCCCCUAAUUCGAAAGAAGGGGGUGAGGGCCCUAGGCAGAAUGCCCCCGUGUGGACAUCGGCUCUCCUGGACGCUGUCUCUGAUCGCGCACUAGUUGCAGCAAUUUGGAAUAAUUAAUUACAAAAGAAGCAAAUGCACAUAUUUCAAGUGAAGAAGGGGAGUGAAGUCUGUUAAUUUAAGUGACCUCUGCGAAAGAAGACGACGGGCUGGAGAAACAGGAAUAUUUUACGAUGAAGAUAGACCAAAGGAGGGGUAUGUUGACAAUGGGGCUGAAUGGGGGGGGGACCUUUUUUACUUUCCUUCUGUGUGAUUUACAAGAACCCCCCCUCAUUAGAACCGUCGGUUGAACUGACCCAAGCAGGAUGAUUAAGGUCUGUGUGGAGAUAAACUUUAACCAAAAGUAUGCUUUAUGGAGACCGAAAAGCAAUAAGAGCUUUUGGGAAUGGCACAGCAAUUAAUUCGGAGUCGCCAUCUUGCCAAAGGAAUUAUAGCCGGGAGGAAGAACGGAUUUGUUUUCAGACUGCAUUCCUAGUGAAUCUCCUCAGAGGUUUUGAGAAAAGGAGGCAGAUUGGUGAAGAUUAAUGAUGCUAAGACUGUUUUGAUGUAUGGAAGUGAUGUUAUAUGGAAAAUGUCUGGAUAUGGCUACUGGAUAAAAAAAAUAAUAUCCACGCAGGAUUACAAACUGUUCUAACCAGCUUGCGGAGACUAUCAGAGGUCAC